rnacentral:rRNA from 1 species
CAAUCACUUGUCUCUUAAAUGGAGACCUGUAUGAAAGGCAUCACGAGGGCUUAACUGUCUCCCCUUUAAAGUCAAUGAAAUUGAUCUCCCCGUGCAGAAGCGGGGAUACACUCGUAAGACGAGAAGACCCUAUGGAGCUUAAGAUACAAGGCGACUCAUGUCAAUCACCCGCUAAAGGAAAUGAACAAGAUGAACUCCGCUGGAAUGUCUUCGGUUGGGGCGACCGCGGGGAAAUACAAAACCCCCACAUGGACCAGGGUUACUACAACCCUAAAACCUAGACCCACAGGUCAAAUCAACAGUAUUUCUGACCAUCAAAGAUCCGGCAAUGCCGAUCGACGGACCAAGUUACCCUAGGGAUAACAGCGCAAUCCCCUCCUAGAGCCCUUAUCAACGAGGGGGUUUACGACCUCGAUGUUGGAUCAGGACAUCCUAAUGGUGCAGCCGCUAUUCAGGGUUCGUUUGUUCAACGAUUAACAGUCCUACGUGAUCUGAGUC